rnacentral:rRNA from 1 species
GGUUCGAUCCUGGCUCAGAUUGAACGCUGGCGGGAUGCUUUACACAUGCAAGUCGAACGGCAGCACGGACUUCGGUCUGGUGGCGAGAGUGGCGAACGGGUGAGUGCUUCCAUCGGAACGUGCCUAGUAGCGGGGGAUAACUACGCGAAAGCGUUAGCCAUUACCGCAUAUUGCCUCGGGGAAAGCGGGGACCUUUCGCCCCGCACUAUUAGAGCGGCCGAUAUCGGAUUAGUGCUAAGUUGGUGGGGUAACGGCUCACCAAGGCGACGAUCCGUAGCUGGUUUGAGGACGACCAGCCACACUGGGACUGAGACACGGCCCAGACUCUACGGAGGCAGGGGGAAUUUUGACAAUGGGGAAAUUCCGAUCCAGCCAUCCGCGUGUGCGAUGAAGGCCUUCGGGUUGUAAAAGCACUUUUUGGCAGGAGAAGAAACGUGCACGCAUACCACCGUGCAACUGACGGUACCUGCAGUGAACACACCGGCUAACUACGUGCCAGCAGCCGCGGUAAUACGUAGGGUGCAAGCGUUAAUCGGAAUUACUGGGCGUAAAGCGUGCGCAGGCGGUUCGGAAAGAAAGAUGUGAAUCCUUGUGAGCUUAACUUUGGAAAUCGCAUUUUUAACUACCGGAGCUAUGUGUCAGAGGGAGGUGGAAUUCCGCGUGUAGCGGGAAAUGCGUAGAUAUGCGGAGGAACACCGAUGGCGAAGGCAGCCUCCUGGGAUAACAUUGACGCUCAUGCACGAAAGGUGGGGAGCAAACAGGAUUAGAUACCUGGUAGUCCACGCCCUAAACGAUGUCAACUAGCUGUUGGGGCCUUCGGGCCUUGUAGCGCAGGUCAACGCGUGAAGUUGGACCGGCCUGGGCGAGUACGGUCGCAAGAUUGGGUAAAAACUCAAAGGAAUUCGACGGGGACUCGCAUGUUGCGGAUGAUGUGGAUUAAUUCGAUGCAACGCGAAAAACCUUACCUACCCUCUUUGACAUGUCUGGAAUCCCGAAGAGAUUUGGGAGUGCUCGCAAGAGAACCGGAACACAGGUGCUGCAUGGCUGUCGUCAGCUCGUGUCGUGAGAUGUUGGGCAGUCCGCAACGAGCGCAAUUCUUGUCAUUAGUUGCUACGAAAGGGCAAUUUAAUGAGACCGCCGGUGACAAACCGAGGAAGGUGGGGAUGACGUCAAGUCCUCAUGGCCUCUGCAGGUAGGGCUUCACACGUCAUACAAUGGUCGGGACAGAGGUCGCCAACCCGCGAGGGGGAGCUAAUCCCAGAAACCUGAUCGUAGUCCGGACUGCAGUCUGCAACUCGACUGCGUGAAGUCGAAUCGCUAGUGAAUCGUGGAUCAGCAUGUCGCGGUGAAUACGUUCCCGGGUCUUGUACACACCGCCCGUCACACCAUGGGAGUGGGUUUUACCAGAAGCAGUUAGCCUAACCGUAAGGAGGGCGAUUACCACGGCAGGAUUCAUGACUGGGGUGAAGUCGUAACAAGCGU